rnacentral:rRNA from 1 species
AUUGAACGCUGGCGGCAGGCCUAACACAUGCAAGUCGAGCGGAUGAAGAGAGCUUGCUCUCUGAUUUAGCGGCGGACGGGUGAGUAAUGCCUAGGAAUCUGCCUGGUAGUGGGGGAUAACGUCCGGAAACGGGCGCUAAUACCGCAUACGUCCUACGGGAGAAAGCAGGGGACCUUCGGGCCUUGCGCUAUCAGAUGAGCCUAGGUCGGAUUAGCUAGUUGGUGAGGUAAUGGCUCACCAAGGCUACGAUCCGUAACUGGUCUGAGAGGAUGAUCAGUCACCAUGGAACUGAGACACGGUCCAGACUCCUACGGGAGGCAGCAGUGGGGAAUAUUGGACAAUGGGCGAAAGCCUGAUCCAGCCAUGCCGCGUGUGUGAAGAAGGUCUUCGGAUUGUAAAGCACUUUAAGUUGGGAGGAAGGGCAGUAAGUUAAUACCUUGCUGUUUUGACGUUACCGACAGAAUAAGCACCGGCUAACUUCGUGCCAGCCGCCGCAGUAAAAC